UGGUUCUGGCAUCGAUGAAGAACGCAGCGAAAUGCGAUAAGUAAUGUGAAUUGCAGAAUUCAGUGAAUCAUCGAAUCUUUGAACGCACAUUGCGCCCGCCAGUAUUCUGGCGGGCAUGCCUGUCCGAGCGUCAUCUCAACCCUCGAGCCCACCCCCUCCCCGGGGGGGCCCGGCGUUGGGGAUCGGCAGCCCUCCGGGGCGCGCCGGCCCCGAAAUCUAGUGGCGGUCUCGCUGCAGCCUCCUCUGCGUAGUAGUAAAACCCUCGCACCGGAACGCAGCGCGGCCAUGCCGUUAAACCCCCAACUCCUGAAUGUUGACCUCGGAUCAGGUAGGAAUACCCGCUGA
rnacentral:misc_RNA from 1 species